AUUGAACGCUGGCGGCAUGCUUUACACAUGCAAGUCGGACGGCAGCGGGGUAGUGCUUGCACUACUGCCGGCGAGUGGCGAACGGGUGAGUAACAUAUCGGAACGUACCGAGCAGUGGGGGAUAACUAAUCGAAAGAUUAGCUAAUACCGCAUAUCUUCUGAGGAAGAAAGCAGGGGACCUUUGGGCCUUGCGCUGUUUGAGCGGCCGAUAUCUGAUUAGCCGGUUGGUGGGGUAAAGGCCUACCAAGGCGACGAUCAGUAGCGGGUCUGAGAGGAUGAUCCGCCACACUGGGACUGAGACACGGCCCAGACUCCUACGGGAGGCAGCAGUGGGGAAUUUUGGACAAUGGGGGCAACCCUGAUCCAGCCAUGCCGCGUGUCUGAAGAAGGCCUUCGGGUUGUAAAGGACUUUUGUCCGGGAAGAAAAGCGCGAUGUUAAUACCAUUGCGUGCUGACGGUACCGGAAGAAUAAGCA
rnacentral:rRNA from 1 species